GCCGAGGUGGCGNAAUUGGCAGACGCGCCGGACUCAAAAUCCGGUGCCCGCAAGGGCGUGAGGGUUCGAGUCCCUCCCUCGGUA
rnacentral:tRNA from 1 species